rnacentral:rRNA from 1 species
UCUGGGACAAGCCCUGGAAACGGGGUCUAAUACCGGAUGAUACUUCUUCCCGCAUGGGGGGAGGUUGAAAGCUCCGGCGGUGCAGGAUGAGCCCGCGGCCUAUCAGCUUGUUGGUGGGGUGAUGGCCUACCAAGGCGACGACGGGUAGCCGGCCUGAGAGGGCGACCGGCCACACUGGGACUGAGACACGGCCCAGACUCCUACGGGAGGCAGCAGUGGGGAAUAUUGCACAAUGGGCGAAAGCCUGAUGCAGCGACGCCGCGUGAGGGAUGACGGCCUUCGGGUUGUAAACCUCUUUCAGCAGGGAAGAAGCGAAAGUGACGGUACCUGCAGAAGAAGCGCCGGCUAACUACGUGCCAGCAGCCGCGGUAAUACGUAGGGCGCAAGCGUUGUCCGGAAUUAUUGGGCGUAAAGAGCUCGUAGGCGGCUUGUCACGUCGGAUGUGAAAGCCCGGGGCUUAACCCCGGGUCUGCAUUCGAUACGGGCAGGCUAGAGUGUGGUAGGGGAGAUCGGAAUUCCUGGUGUAGCGGUGAAAUGCGCAGAUAUCAGGAGGAACACCGGUGGCGAAGGCGGAUCUCUGGGCCAUUACUGACGCUGAGGAGCGAAAGCGUGGGGAGCGAACAGGAUUAGAUACCCUGGUAGUCCACGCCGUAAACGUUGGGAACUAGGUGUUGGCGACAUUCCACGUCGUCGGUGCCGCAGCUAACGCAUUAAGUUCCCCGCC